ensembl:lncRNA
UGAGUACAGUCUGUGCGUGUAUGUGUGUGUGUGUGUGUGUGUGUGUGUGUGUGUGCUUUUCAUUAGCCUAAUAGGCAGUCAAAUUGGUAUUACUACAGCCCAAUAAGAUACUUGAUAUCCCCUCCUCUGUUUCAAUUACUGAAACCACAGUGAAGAGAAAUAUAAUGGAAAGCAAAAUUAUUGUCAUUGUUGAUGAGGUUUCCUCUCUCAUCUGGUCUGUGUGUGGUGUCAGUGUGUGUCUGAUUGAGGUUGAAGGGGGACGUGCUGUAUGUGUGUGUGUGUGUGUGCAUCCGUGUGUGUGCGCAACUACAAGUAUGUGUGUGUGUGUGUGUGUGUGUAUGCGCUCGUGUGUCACCAUCAUGAUCUAUCUGUGCUCGCUCUUAAAGGACAAACACAUCAAUCACAACAGCGGCCAUUUUGUUCUGAAUAAGAAAAGGGGUCAGUAGGCUAGCUCAGGCUAACUCAGGAAUCUCCAUGUAUUUACAUAGUGCUGGUACUGUACAACCAAUAUUAUCUUGAGAAACCCAUUCAUUUAUUUAUUUUCAACCAGCAACUAACUCUUUUACUCUCAAACAGACAGAUCCCACUCAUUCCAAAACCAUUUCCCAUGUCUCAUUUUCUCAGAUCACAUUGUCUCCUUCCCUCUCCUCUCUCUGUCACUCUGUCCUCUCCCUCUUUAGCGCAGCAAUCAGACUCUCGUAAGGGAAGGAGACAUUUUCAUGACAAUGUGAUCUGUAAAGCUCAAAGAGGGUAAUAGUGGUAGAGCAUUGAUGUGUGUGUCUGUGAACAUCUCUUCCUCCACAUGAGAAAUGGUUGUGGAAUGAGUGGGAUCUGUCUGUUUGAGAGACGUUGAUGUAGAGAAUUCAUAUAGUCCUUUGAGUAUUUCCCCCUCCACUCACCCCGAACAUUUCACAUGUCAACCUGUGUGUUUCUGUGUGUUGUCACCUGUCAUAAACACAUUACACGCACAUCGUGUUUAUGACCAUAUAAGGACCAUAUUCAGUCACAUAAAGUACUGUACAUGAAUAGUGCAAGGAGUUAAUGAGUACAGUCUAUGUGUGUGUGUGUGUGUGUGUGUGUGUGUGUGUGUGUGUGUGUGCUUUUCAUUAGCCUAAUAGGCAGUCAAAUUGGUAUUACUACAGCCCAAUAAGAUACUUGAUAUCCCCUCCUCUGUUUCAAUUACUGAAACCACAGUGAAGAGAAAUAUAAUGGAAAGCAAAUUAUUGUCAUUGUUGAUGAGGUUUCCUCUCUCAUCUGGUCUGUGUGUGGUGUCAGUGUGUGUCUGAUUGAGGUUGAAGGGGGACGUGCUGUAUGUGUGUGUGUGUGUGUGUGCAUCCGUGUGUGUGCGCAACUACAAGUAUGUGUGUGUGUGUGUGUGUGUGUGUGUAUGUGCUCGUGUGUCACCAUCAAAUGUACAUUUGUUGAUUGCUAGGCAUACAAAUCAGAUGAUUUAUUGGUACAUUUGAAAUUAGGUGUAGUUGUGUCCGCAACCGGACUAGAUUGUGAAUGACUCUUGGUGGAAUGCAUUGCUUGACUGCCGUGAGGGUGAUCAGCACAAUAUCAUUUGCGAACUGCUGCCACCCAAACAAUUCUCGAGAUUGAGUUUGUUGAGCAGAGACUGUGUGUGUUUUUGGUUCGACAAAGCAGUGUCAUAACAUUCAAUAAUCAUUGAAUUGCAGUCAGUGUUGCACCAUGCGAUCAUUUAUCAGUUAUGAUGUCUUUGUAUUCUCUACACUGCCUGGAGCAUGAUCUGUUGAGCCUGAGCUCAUAUAUGACAGACAGGUGUGGUGAGAUCAUAUAUGACAGACAGCUGUGGUGAGAUCAUAUAUGACAGACAGCUGUGGUGAGAUCAUAUAUGACAGACAGCUGUGGUGAGAUCAUAUAUGACAGACAGGUGUGGUGAGAUCAUAUAUGACAGACAGGUGUGGUGAGAUCAUAUAUGACAGACAGGUGUACUGUCAUCUCCAAGAACUUGAGUGGACAAUGUGUUGACUUGGUCAGUCCUCUGGCAUAGGGGCUGGACACAUCAAUAUUCCCUCUUCUACCCUGCUCUGAUGCCCGCAUGCUCAGCAGCAUUAGAUAAUGCAGUAUAGUGGUUGUUCUGGUUUCUACAGUAACACAGGUGUUAAAGGAGAUGUGAGUGAAAUAACAUAUUAUUCUUCUCCCCUCAACCCUUCACUCCUCCUCCCCAUCCUCUAUCCUUCUCCUCUACCCAUGUACUCCUCUGUUUCUAUCACUCCUCCUCCCCAUCCUCUCUCCUUCUCCUCUACCCAUGUACUCCUCUGUUUCUAUCACUCCUCCUCUUUCCAUUCUCUUAAUGAUCUUCCUGAAUCCAUCUGAAUGUGUUUUUCUAAGAUAAGUCAAUGGCACAUCCACAAUUGGAUAACUAUUUAUUUUUGUAUGGAAGAGAAAUCAGAGGAACGAGUCUAUAGAGGGAGAGAGAGACAGAGAGAAAGAUUCCGGCCCAGUCAUGUUGGAUUGCAAAUUCGAAUCAAGCUGCUCAGAAGCAAUUUCAAUUAAUCUGUGUGUGCAUUGGAGCCACAUGCUUUGUCUUGUAGCCAAUCCCACUUGGCUUAUCAGACACAAUUUGUGGUGGAUGUCCACACACACACACUCCACUGUUAUGGCCUGGCAGCCAAGAUGGCACUUCAUCCAACACUACUAAAUGUUAUUCACUUUUAUUGAGAUUGACAUUUUAGCUGUCCAGGUUGUUGAAGUAGAGUUUCCUAUAAGGACUGUACCACAUUAUUCCAUUUCCAUCUUAUUGUCACCAUUAUCAUUACUUACACUCUGAAGGACUGUACCACUUCAUAGAGAGAGAGAGAGAGAGAGAGAGAGAGAGAGAGAGAGAGAGAGAGAGAGAGAGAGAGAGAGAGAGAGAGAGAGAGAGAGAGAGAGAGAGAGAGAGAGAGAGAGAGAGAGAGAGAGAGAGAGAGAGAGAGAGAGAGAGAGAGAGAGAGAGAGAUUUGUAUACACAAUAUAACCAUUCUCCAUGUUCCGUACUGUAUGUAUUCCUGGUCCAGUGCUGCUGUGUUUAGGGAAUGAUGACAUAUUGAAGGGUUUAUUUGCAUAAAGAUCUACUGUAUAAGGCUAGGUACACGAUCCAUGUGUCUGGUCCUGACUGUGCUGCUUUGGGAGAUACGGGAGAAACGUAUCUAUAGGUUGUGUAUUAAGGCUUAUUGAAAGGGCUCCAUAAUGACUUCAUAUGCAUAACACCUUUUUCAACCAAUCACCUCUAUCUAACAACAUCAACAAACCUCAUGAUCAACCUCAGGCAUUAUUACUAUGUGUGGUAUGAGGUAUUUGUGCUCGCUGUUCAAAUCUGUUUCUAUUUUCUCUUCUUGUUUGUCUUCCCACUUCCUCAACCAAUCAAUCGAAUGUAUUUAUAAAGCCCUUUCUACAUCAGCUGAUAUCUCAAAGUGCUGUACAGAAACCCUGCCCUAAAACCCCAAACAGCAAGAUGCAGAUGUAGAAGUACGGUGGCUAGGAAGAACUCCCUAGAAAGGCACAACGCAUGUUGAGCCCUAAAUGUUGACUCCUCCCCCAGCUAAACAGUGACACAGCCUACUGUAUCUGAUUUAAUAUCACUUUGUACAAUUGAACAGUAAACGCAACCUCCGGAUUUUUCAUCGCUUCCUUUCCGUUCACCAAACUGAAACUGUGCAGUAAUGAAGAAAUAUAAAGAUUGAAUGAUGAACAUGUGUAAAAUGUAUUGUAAAUAUCAAGCCAGAUGGCAAUAUAAACCAUGGUAAUCUCCCACGGGAAUAGAACAAAAGAGAUGUUAGAGAGAAGAGAAAGGAAACUCUAGAAUGUUAAACCCAUGUUGUCCUUCACCAACCCUUCCUUGGUAGCUUUGCUGCAGUACCUGACUCCGUUGUAAAAUGUAUUGUUUGAAAAUAAAAA